GAUGAAGAACGUAGUGAAAUGCGAUACGUAGUGUGAAUUGCAGAAUUCAGUGAAUCAUCGAAUCUUUGAACGCACAUUGCACCUCUCAGUAUUCCGGGAGGUAUGCCUGUUCGAGCGUCAUUUGUACCCUCAAGCUCUGCUUGGUGUUGGGUGUUUGUUCCGCCUCUGUGUGUGAACUCGCCUCAAAACAAUUGGCAGCCGGCGUACUUGUUUCGGAGCGCAGCACAUUUUGCGAUCCAGAUCAACGUACAGCGGCAUCCAAGAAGCCUUAUUUAACGCUCUUGACCUCGGAUCAGGUAGGGAUACCCGCUGAACUUAAGCAUAUCAAUAAGCGGAGGA
rnacentral:misc_RNA from 1 species